UGCAAGUCGAACGAAGCACCUUGGACAGAAUCCUUCGGGAGGAAGACCAUUGUGACUGAGUGGCGGACGGGUGAGUAACGCGUGGGUAACCUGCCUUGUACAGGGGGAUAACAGUUGGAAACGACUGCUAAUACCGCAUAAGCGCACAGUACCGCAUGGUACGGUGUGAAAAACUCCGGUGGUACAAGAUGGACCCGCGUCUGAUUAGCUGGUUGGUGAGGUAACGGCCCACCAAGGCGACGAUCAGUAGCCGACUUGAGAGAGUGAUCGGCCACAUUGGGACUGAGACACGGCCCAAACUCCUACGGGAGGCAGCAGUAGGGAAUAUUGCACAAUGGGGGAAACCCUGAUGCAGCGACGCCGCGUGAAGGAAGAAGUAUUUCGGUAUGUAAACUUCUAUCAGCAAGGAAGAAAAUGACGGUACUUGACUAAGAAGCCCCGGCUAAAUACGUGCCAGCAGCCGCGGUAAUACGUAUGGGGCAAGCGUUAUCCGGAUUUACUGGGUGUAAAGGGAGCGUAGGCGGCAUGGCAAGUCAGAAGUGAAAGCCUGGGGCUCAACCCCGGAAUUGCUUUUGAAACUGUCAGGCUAGAGUGUCGGAGGGGUAAGCGGAAUUCCUAGUGUAGCGGUGAAAUGCGUAGAUAUUAGGAGGAACACCGGUGGCGAAGGCGGCUUA
rnacentral:rRNA from 1 species